rnacentral:rRNA from 1 species
CCCUUAGAUGUCCGGGGCCGCACGCGCGCUACACUGUAGAUCGCAGCGAGUGUAGUUUCUGUCCCUCCCGUAGCCGGGUGGGUAAACCUUUGAAAGAUCGAACGUGGCUUGGGAUCGGGCCUUGAAAUUAUUGCCCGUGAACGAGGAAUUCCCAGUAAGCGCGAGUCAUAAGCUGGCGUUGAUUACGUCCCUGCCCUUUGUACACACCGCCCGUCGCUACUACCGAUUGGACGGUUUAGCGAGGCCCUCGGAUCGGUACCUGGACUCCGUCAGGAGUGACUGGCAACCGAGAAGGCGGUCGAACUUGACCGUCUAGAGGAAGUAAAAGUCGUAACAA